rnacentral:rRNA from 1 species
UACGUAGGGUGCAAGCGUUGUCCGGAAUUAUUGGGCGUAAAGAGCUCGUAGGCGGUUUGUCGCGUCUGCUGUGAAAGCCCGGGGCUCAACCCCGGGUCUGCAGUCGAUACGAGCAAACUAGAGUGUUGCAGGGGAGACUGGAAUUCCUGGUGUAGCGGUGAAAUGCGCAGAUAUCAGGAGGAACACCGGUGGCGAAGGCGGGUCUCUGGGCAACAACUGACGCUGAGGAGCGAAAGCGUGGGGAGCGAACAGGA